GUUGUACGCCAUUCUUGCCCAUGGCUCUUUCGUCGGAAGUGCAACACAUAUGGGAGGAGCCGAGCUCAUAUGGAAUGGAAAGCUUACAUUGUGCUAACUUGAACUGAAUCACCUAAGGUGUGCAUUUGCGC